rnacentral:misc_RNA from 1 species
CCAAUAGCGUAUAUUAAAGUUGUUGCAGUUAAAAAGCUCGUAGUUGAAUUUCGGGAUUGACACAUCGGUCGUGCCUUAAGGGGUAUGAACUGGUGUAGUCAAUUUCUCACCUUCUGGAGAACCGCGAUGCCCUUAAUUGGGUGUCACGGGGAACCAGGAUCUUUACUUUGAAAAAAUUAGAGUGUUUAAAGCAGGCAUUUUGCUUGAAUACAUUAGCAUGGAAUAAUAAAAUAGGACGGGAUGAUUCUAUGUUGUUGGUUUCUAGGAGCACCGUAAUGAUUAAUAGGGAUAGGUGGGGGCAUUAGUAUUCAAUUGUCAGAGGUGAAAUUCUUGGAUUUAUUGAAGACUAACUACUGCGAAAGCAUUUGCCAAGGAUGUUUUCAUUAAUCAAGAACGAAAGUUAGGGGAUCGAAGACGAUCAGAUACCGUCGUAGUCUUAACCAUAAACUAUGCCGACUAGGAAUCAGACGAUGUUAAUUUUUUAAUGACUCGUUUGGCACCUUACA